rnacentral:rRNA from 1 species
AACGAACGCUGGCGGCAUGCCUAACACAUGCAAGUCGAACGAGACCUUCGGGUCUAGUGGCGCACGGGUGCGUAACGCGUGGGAACCUGCCCUUAGGUUCGGAAUAACUCCCCGAAAGGGGUGCUGAUACCGGAUAAUGACUUCGGACCAAAGAUUUAUCGCCUUUGGAUGGGCCCGCGUUGGAUUAGCUAGUUGGUAGGGUAAAAGCCUACCAAGGCGACGAUCCAUAGCUGGUCUGAGAGGAUGAUCAGCCACACUGGGACUGAGACACGGCCCAGACUCCUACGGGAGGCAGCAGUGGGGAAUAUUGGACAAUGGGCGAAAGCCUGAUCCAGCAAUGCCGCGUGAGUGAUGAAGGCCUUAGGGUUGUAAAGCUCUUUUACCCGGGAUGAUAAUGACAGUACCGGGAGAAUAAGCUCCGGCUAACUCCGUG